CAAUAGUGGUAAAACUAGUGUUAAUUUUUAAUUUUUUUUUUUUCUGUUGGUAGUUUUCUAUAAUCAGCAGAAACACAUAGUAACUGUACUACAACUCAAGAACAAAACUGAAAAUUUGGAUACAACUGGUAUCAAGGAAACGGUUAAGUGAAGCAAACUUCAAAGGAGCUGGAUUAAGCUGGUCUGUUGACAGAGGAUACCUCAGAGCUGUCAGUCUAAAGGUACCUGCAUUCAGACAACAAUUAGCACAAGAGCAUGAUGAUGGCAUUAACGAGUGUAACGAAAAAGGCUUUCCAUGAAUACAAAAUAAGCUUCCUUCAUAUCAAUCAGAAAACAGUUUUAAAAAUGAGCUGACAGAGCUCAGAACUCCUCAGAGGCUGAACUAUUUUGACUUCAGAGAUACUAGUGAUGAAGCUUGAAAUUCAAACGCUGCAUUAAAAUAUUGUGGAGUCUUCCACCUUUGCUACGUUUUCUUCAUCUCUGUUUUACACAGCAGCUUUCUCUGCUGUGAUUCCAAGCCUCUUUUCAAGCAAGACUUUGUUUCUGUAAGCUGCUAUUAUGGUUUGACAAACCAAGGGAAGCUGUCAGAUAUUUUACUUUGAUGCCGUCCAGAUCCAAACAGAGGAAGCCUUCAGCACAAACAUGUCAUUAUCAUUUCCUUGCUGCCCUUUGUCAGUGAUACCGUCACAAGAGAAAAAGGUUCUGCUUAAGCCACAGGCAUUGAGCUAAUUCUUUCACAGCAUUGUUCCAUACCUCAUGGCUCUUCCUAGGAUGACAUGCUGCUGCACCUAUAUUGGUUGGCAAGAUGGUCCUGUCUAAAGUGAGUAUCCUUCUUUAUUAUUUUCAUACCAGCCAGAAUGUUUGGGAUAAAUGCAGGUUAGAGAAUGGUUGUAACACAUUUCAACCAUUUACAUCGCAACAAAAAGCCAAGCAGUACAUCUCUAGGUGAAAAAAAAAUUGGUUUUGGCUGAAAUAGAGUUAAUUUUCUUCUUAGUAACCAGUGCUUUGUUCUGGAUUUGGUAUAUAUUCAGUAAUGCUGAUAACACACUGAUGUAAUUGUUGUUACUAAGUAGUGCUCACACUAAAUCAAGGUUUUUUUUCUGUGCCACAUGCUGUCAGUGAAGAAUUGCACAAGAAGUCAAGAUAGAACAUGGUGAGGACAGCUGAUCCAAAUUGGCCAAAGGAGAAUUCCCCACCCCUGAAUGUCAUGCUCAGUGUAUAAAAUGGGGCAGGCGACCAAGAGCCACUGAUUGCUGCUCAGGGGCUGGGCAUCAGUCAGUGAGUGGCUUUUGAUCCUUCCUGGACAAAGACUAAUAUUAAAGAACAUUUCACUUGGCUGUGGUGACAUCAAAGAUCAAAAUAAGGAUGAAAAUAAAAAAGAAAGAAUACACAAGAUGGUGAAGGGGGGGAAAAAAAAAGAAAUAGAAAAGAGAAAACUUGAAAAACAAUACUCCUACUAGCAUAUUGAGCACUAUUCCAAAGAGCCAGCUGAUCCUUCCAUCUGCCAGCUGAGUCGAACCAGCUACAUUUCAACUAUCAGAUGGGGUUCUCUGAGGAACCUAGUAACUACAAUAAACAUUUUUGU